CCCAAAUGGGGCUUUAACACUAGAAUUGUUCCAAGUCUUAAACUCCAUACAAGGCCCAUUCAGUUCUUGCAGUUGCAGAACAUCAAUACCAGUUUAGGCGCACAAUUCCCUUGAACAAAAUAGCCGCCGUUGUAACCGCCGAAGAUGGACUACCACAACAAGCUCAUCCUCGCUCCUAUGGUUCGAGUGGGUACACUGCCAUUGAGGCUAUUAUCAGCUGAAUAUGGUGCAGAUAUCACAUAUGGAGAGGAAAUCAUCGACCAUAAGAUUAUUAAGUGUGAUCGUGUUGUCAAUGAGUAUCUGGGUACUACUGAUCUAGUUGAGAAAGGUACACAGAGUGUGGUGUUUAGGACGUGUCCAGAGGAACGAGACCGGGUGGUGUUUCAGAUGGGGACCUCUGAUGCUAUUAGGGCUCUCAAGGCUGCCCAACUUGUGUGCGAUGAUGUUGCUGCUGUUGAUAUUAAUAUGGGUUGUCCUAGGUCAUUUUCUAUCAGUGGGGGCAUGGGUGCUGCACUGUUGUCAAAGCCAGAGAUCAUUCAUGAUAUAUUGAGAACAUUGAAGAGGAACCUAAAUACUCCUGUGACUUGUAAAAUUCGACUUUUGCGAACAUCUCAUGACACAGUGGAAUUGGCAAGACGGAUUGAGAAAACAGGUGUUUCUGCUCUUGCUGUCCAUGGAAGAAGAGUUCCGGAUAGACCAAGGGAUCCUGCAAAGUGGAAUGAGAUUGCUGAUGUAGUUGCUGCUUUAUCAAUUCCAGUGAUACCAAAUGGAGAUGUUUUCACUUAUGAAGAUAUCGUACGCAUCAAAAUUGCUACAGGUGCCUCCUCGGUGAUGGUUGCAAGGGGUGCUCUUUGGAAUGCAUCGAUUUUCUCUCCUCAAGGAAAAUUGCCAUGGGAAGAAGUGAAGAAAGAGUAUGUCAGAAAGAGCAUCUUGUGGGAUAAUGAAGUUAAAAGCACAAAGCACACCUUAAAGGAAAUGAUAAUGCACCAUUCUUGCCUUGGAUUAGAAGAAGGGAAGGCGGUGAUCAAGUCAGAAACCUUGGCGGACCUUGCGAAACUUUAUGACGAAGAGGAUUAUUUUCAAUUUAUCAAUGAAAGCAGAUGACACAUAAAGGCUUUGUGGCCUUUGUGAAAUGAAAUGUAGGUGAGUGUUCCCAAAAUUUUAAACUUUUAGGUAUGAGCAGCCGACCAGAUUUUUCUGUUAAAAUCAUGGAAAUUUUAUGACGAAGAGGACUAUUUCCAAUUUAUCAAUGAAAACAGAUGAUACAUAAAGGCUUUGUGGCCUUUGUGAAAUGAAAUACAGGAAGCAAGUAAAGUGCCUCGGGAAGUAUUUGAUCUAUAGUUUAUGCUGGAGUUGCUUUAACUGGUUUUUCAGUGGUAUUGGUGAUUCGCUUGUGAGUUUAGACAUCCCCACUCUUGGAUUAACAAUAUUCAAGAACAUCGACUUCACAUGAUUGCUCACUAUCUUUCACUAUCUUCAUCCAGGAGGGACAGAUUUCUCAUGUUCACUAGGCGAUUGUUGUGCAGGAGUUCGAAAAAUUACAUUUGUCACAAGAAUGAUUAUUAGAUCAAAUUGCAUUAGGCUGUGCAUGUUUUCUUAUUUCAGAAAUUUUCAGUUCAUAUUAUGUAUUAUCGGUUUUCUUAUUACAUCGUAUAUGAGGGAUUAUUGGUUUGUAUUAUUUGUUUGGAUAUUUGGAAGUCAUCCUCUCUAUUAUUUGUGACA